AUUGAACGCUGGCGGCAGGCUUAACACAUGCAAGUCGAGCGGGGGAAGGUAGCUUGCUACCGGACCUAGCGGCGGACGGGUGAGUAAUGCUUAGGAAUCUGCCUAUUAGUGGGGGACAACAUCUCGAAAGGGAUGCUAAUACCGCAUACGUCCUACGGGAGAAAGCAGGGGAUCUUCGGACCUUGCGCUAAUAGAUGAGCCUAAGUCGGAUUAGCUAGUUGGUGGGGUAAAGGCCUACCAAGGCGACGAUCUGUAGCGGGUCUGAGAGGAUGGUCCGCCACACUGGGACUGAGACACGGCCCAUACUCCUACGGGAGGCAGCAGUGGGGAAUAUUGGACAAUGGGGGGAACCCUGAUCCAGCCAGGCCGCGUGUGUGAAGAAGGCCUUAUGGUUGUAAAGCACUUUAAGCGAGGAGGAGGCUACUCUAGUUAAUACCUAGGGAUAGUGGACGUUACUCGCAGAAUAAGCACCGGCUAACUCUGUGCCAGCAGCCGCGGUAAAAC
rnacentral:rRNA from 1 species